GAGAAAACACAUACCUAAAGAUUCUCUGGAGAGGCUGAAACACCAGGUUUGGCGCUCUGGAAGGAAGAACAACAACAGAGGCUGCUGCUCUGCUGGGUAUCGGAUACUGCAGUAUCCCACCCCUGACACCAUUAGCUCGAGAUGCUGACAUUUUUCUCAGCACUGUGGCCACUGCUGCUCCAAGAAUUUGGUCUUUAGAUUGGCAUUUCAGUCAGCGAGAUCCUCCUGGCCCUUGUUUCUAUGCAUCAUAGUUCCUGAAUCAAAGUCUGGGGAUAGGGUACCUGGAGAGCACAGAACGAAUUGACACUCUCAUCCACUGUGGCCAUCCUUCAGUGCUGUACGAACCGGGGAUUCUCUGGAGGGAGCCUUACCUCCUUUGAUCUAGAAGUACAAUCUUACAGCUGUAUGGAGGAAGCCCUUUUCCAAUGGGAGAAGAGGCCAGCCAUCAGCAGGAAAGCAGAGCUCAAAGACAAAGAGAAGGAAAAGAGAGUUCUGGUGACAUUGGUUGAACACGUAGUUCUACCUCUGCCUGAGCCCAUGAAUAUCCUUUCUGUUUAAGCUAGUUUGAAAUGUUUUGGUCACUUUCAAGUGGAUAAAUCCUACCAUGCUAACAUGCUUAAAUAUUAGAAUGAAGUAAUACUUUUAAUUAUGAAAAACAGAGACAAGUGAAAAGAAAACCCCCAAAUCAUUCCUAAGCUUAUUUUUAGUUAUACAAAAAAUGGUAUAAUACCAUAUAUUCUCCUUAUUUGUUUAUUUUUUAGAGUGAUGAACAUGUUAUUUAUUUAUUUAUUUAUUUUUUUUUUGAGAGAGAGAGUCUUGCUCUCUUGCCCAGGCCGGAGUGCAGCAUGAUCUUGGUUCACUGCAACCUCCGCCUCCCAGGUUCAAGUGAUUCUCCUGUCAGCUUCUAGAGUAGCUGGGACUAUAGGCAUAUGCCACCAUGUCUGGCUAAUUUUUGUAUUUUUAGUAGAGAUGAGGUUUCGCCAUGUUGGCCAGGCUGGUCUUGAACUCCUGACUUCAGGUGAUCCGCCCACCUCGGCCUCACAAAGUGCCCUUAUAUUAGUGUGUGUGUGUUGUGUUGGAGAUUAUAAAAUAUGCCCACAAAUUCCUUCAUCCAGUAUGCAAUGCCUUUUGCAAUGUGAAUUUGCUGCUUCCCUUGUGCAGAAGGGAGGUUUAUUUCUAUCCCUUGACUCUUGGCCUGGUGAUUUAUUUGAAUGGGAGAAUGCAGCCGGACAUGUAUAUAACCUUGAGUUGCCAGUCCAGCCUUCUAGAUGUGACCAAGACAGCCCAGCCCACAGCCCACCCCACUGCCAGGCUGAACAGGAAGCAUAGUGCCAGCAUCUGCUUCUGGUGAGGCCUCAAGGAGCUUCCAAUCCUGGUAGAAGGAGAAGAGGAGCUGUCAUGUCACAUGGAGAGAGAAAGGGAGCAAGGGAGAGAGGGGAGGACAUGCCAGGCUCCUUUUGAACAACCAGCUCUCAAGCGAACCAAUAGUGAAAACUCACUCAUUACUGCAGAAUGGCAGUAAUGCAUGAAGGAUCUGCCCCAUGACCCAUACAGUUCCCACUAGGCCCCACCUCCAACAUUGGGGAUCAACUUCCACAUCAAAUUGGGAGGAGAGAAUUAUCCCAACUAUAUCAGGAGGUCAUCUUGAACCCUCUAGCCCUGCUGUCUCUCUCUCAGAAUCCAACUGUGGAGGAACUUCCAGCUAACCCUCAAAAUCAUGAAAAAUAAUAACUCUUAGCUGUUUUAAACCACUUUUGGAAUGAAUUAUGCAGCAAAAGCUGAGAUGGAUGGUGUCCUGCCAUGUCUCACGGAACUACGUAUAACCAUUUCCCCCACCUUAUUCAAUAUUUAUUAAGGUUACUUUGGUUGCAAACAUCAGAAAUCAACCCCAGCCAACUUAAACAAAAGGAAAAUGCAUUAGAAUGUCCCUAAUGUAAGUCAAGGAACAGAAAAUAAAAUUGGGAAGUGGGGAAAUCAGGGCGUCCGCGGGCUCAUUAGCAGCAUGAUAUCCUGGAGUUGCCGUCCAAAAAAUUGCCAUUAACACCAUCCCGCGCUAAUGAUAGCAACUUCAAGUUUUCAGAGCAGACGGUCUGACCCGCCCCGUUUGGGUCAGUACCCACGUCUGAAUCAUUUAGCUAUGACGAAGUGGGCGUCAGUGGUGGGAGGCAGGAGGCGGACAUGUAGAAAGUAGGUGAAGUCGUGGGAGUGCCGAUGCAGAAGCCACGAGCGCUGCUCAUGGCCUGGGCCUGCUUUUUAACUGCUACAUGUUUUGAUUCUCCAAAAGUUGUUUUCCUUUCAAAUCUCUUUGCAGCUACUGUAUCAAGGCAUUUUUUUUUUUUUUUUGAAGAAAGGGAAAAUAGUGAGGGGCCACUUUUGAAACUGUAACAAAUGGGGCAACAUUGUAUACUUCUGCACAACGUAAGUGAAUCUGUCAAGGUUUUAUGUGCAAACGGGUCUCUGAGUGAGUGAAAUGGUUUUGAUCAGUAUCUAAAAGAAUCUGGGGGUGUAGACAUAAAAGGGAGUUAAACCCAGAGUAACAGGUGUUGUGAAUACAGAGGAGAGGAACGGGGAGGCUUCGAAUGGGGACAGUGUCGACCUCGGCCCCGGCCUGGGGUGGGGGGGCUGCAUCUCCGGAGAGAGGGGGCAUCUCUUGCCCCUAACUGCGGUGUGACAUGUGCCUGGGGCAGCGUCUGCUGGGACUAGCGAGCGCGGGAACCUCGAAUAAGUGGGCCAGGGACCUGAGCCUGGGCCCAGGCCCUCGGACUGGGAGGCCCGCCCGCGGAGGCACGCCGGUACCCCUGAGCCUCGCGCUCUGCACCGAAGCAGCCACCCUCACCGAGCUGGAGGGGGCCGGGGGCCUGGAGCGCGGGGGGAGGCUCUGGGACUGAGGCGGUGCCUCCGCCUCCUGCCUGCCGCGGGAGCGCGGGCCGC
rnacentral:lncRNA from 1 species